rnacentral:lncRNA from 1 species
AGAUGGAGCAUCUUAUUUGUUGCUAGUUUCUCUUCCAUGGGACAAAAAUGUGGUCUAGAUUCAAUAAUUUCCGCUUGUUUUAAUAUCUUCAAUUUUUGGUCAUGAAAAACUGUAUAUUUUCUUAUAAAUAAUUAAUUUGUUAAAAGAAGAAGCUAGAAGACGGUAGUUCAUUUUCUUGGUAGGGCAGUUCUAAUUUGUGUUUUUAUUUCUUCAAUCGUAAGGAUUAAUUCAUUAGAUCAGUCAACUAUAGUAUACAACACGAAUAAAUCUAUUAACGAAAUUUUUUCUGAGAAUUAGAAAAUGACCUCCAUUGACUUUUGACCUCAUUUCUCUUAAUAUUUCCUCCAUCAAUUGAUACUCAAACUUAUCUCAGUAGAAGAACUAUAAUGAAUAAGCGACUAGAUUUACUUCUAAAGGGAUUUAGAUAGGAAUUUUGAAAUUCGGUUGUGUAAACACAAUAAGUGAGCUUAUAUGUAUGCAGGAGGGCUACCUAUAUAUAAGUUAGUCUGUUAGCUUGAAUUGAAUUAGAUAUUUGACAUAAGACGCUAAUAGAUGUAAUUAAAUCACUAAUUAGCCGAUGAAAAUAAAAAAAACCAGGCCGACGAAUUAUUUUUUCGUCGGCUAAAGUGGAUUUUAGCCGACGAAAUUUCCAUUCGUCGGCUAAUUAAAAAUUUUCGUCGGCUAUGGUCAACUUUAACCGACGAAAUUAAAAUUUCGUCGUCUGAAUAAUUUUUUUCGUCGGCUAUAGUCUGUGAACUUUAGCCGACGAAAUUUUUAAAAGUUUAGCCGACGAAAAAUAUAAUUUCGUCGGCUAAAGUGCCUUAAUUUCGUCGGCUAAAGUGCCUUAUAUUUGCAGAUCUGGACAACAACUCAUCUGGGAAAAAAAAACUAUACGUAGAACCUUCAAACACAAAAAAGUCGUGAAAUAAGAUAUGACUAGAAUGGUGAAAUACGUCCACGAUUGAAAAAUCACGGUAUUCCGGUAAAGUCUCGGUGCCGAUAGUUGCGGUCAAUGCAAUUUACCCUUAUUAUUCACUAUGCUGCAGAUUUGGUUUUUGGUGUCCGAUUGACUAUUGUGAUACCUUUUCGGAAGCGUAACGGCCCUACGAGUCAAACUCAUUGCUAGUGUCAUGAUGUAUGAGCCUUUUUGGCCAUCCGAGUCCGUUUAGGGCUUCAAAAUGCAGUUUUCUUAUUUCCGAUUAGAGUUGACCGUUUCGAUCGAGCCCUUAACGUUGUCGAAUCCAGUUGAAUUUUUUACCAUAGACAUCUUUCGUCAUAAUGAUCAUAUCGGACGGUCGAAUUUUAGUUUGUAAAUUUUAGUCAUCGGAAUCACGUGUCUACUAUUUACCGUUAUUAUUCCCUAUGGGGAGCCCUAUCGUCGGAAGGUAAAUGUCUCAAAAUUUUUAUAUGGGCAGUUGCGUCUCAUCUACGUGAGAGUUUUUUGUGUGGAAGGUUUGACCAAACCACGUAAUAUAGAGGGAGAUAUAAGCGUUUUCGUGUGAUAAGUGACGAUAGAUUAGGGUUACCCGUUUCGAUUGAGUCCUUAACGUUGUCGGAUCCAGUGGAAUUUUUUACCAUAGACAUCUUUCGUCAUAAUGAUCAUAUCUGACGGUCGAAUUUUGGUUUGUAAAUUUUAGUCAUUGGAAUCACAACGUGUCUACUAAUGUUGUAUAACUUGUUUAGUAGGUUAUACAACUUUGUGAACCAACUAUAUAUAUGAAGCAAAAUUAUCAAAAAUCUCGUGAAAUAAGAUGUGUUCAGAAUGGUGAAAAUACGGCUAUGGUUCAAAAAUCACGUAAAUCGGGUAAAAGUCUCGGUGCUGAUAGUAGCGGUUAACCCUAUUUACCGUUAUUAUUCCCUAUGGGAGCCCUAUCGUCGAAGGCAAAUGUCUCAAAAUUUUUAUAUAGGCGGUUGCGUCUCAUCUACGUGAAAGUUUUUCGUGUGGAAGGUUUGACCAAACUACGUAAUAUAGAGGGAGAUAUGAGCGUUUUCAUGAAUUUAUAGACUUUAGCCAACGAGAUAUUAAAAAAGUCGUCGGCUAAGGUCAAAAAUUUUCAGGCGGUAAACCAAAUUUGGAGGAAAAUUUUCAAAGGACUUUAGCCGACGAAAAUAUAUGAAAAGUCGUCGGCUAAAGUCAAAAAUUUUCAAAAUUUUCAAAAGAGUUUAGCCGACGAAAAUAAAGAAUUUCGUCGGCUAAAGUUCUUUAUAUUACCCAAGGUGGAUUGGUAAGAAGUCUAUUUCGCCUGCCAGAUUUCUUCUCGGCCUAGCUCCGCCGUCAAGCCACCGGAGACCGCCACACUUGUCCCAAAAGACUUCGCCGUCGUCUCUACUUCAUUGCUGGAUAGGUGGUGCAUCGAGUGGCGCCGCCGUGAGAGAUAAAUCGAGCUCCAAAACUCCGCCGGUUCGGAUUCGGUGUCGAUCGAAUUUCUCCUUCCUUAGGUCACCAUUUGGUGAGUUCUAUAUAUGGAUAAGUUNNN